GGAGUGGGUCGGGCGGGCGCGCUUGCCGGUCUUCGGACCGGCGGUGAGGAAAGUCCGAGCUCCGCAGGACGGGAUGCUGGGUAACGCCCAGGGGGGGUGACCCCACAGACAGUGCCACAGAAAAUAUACCGCCCGGUUUACCGGGUAAGGGUGAAAUGGUGAGGUAAGAGCUCACCGCGCCUGCGGUGACGUAGGUGGCAGGGAAAACCUCAUCCGGAGCAAGGCCAAAUAGGGGGAGAGAGGUGGUCCGCCUCGUUAUCAUUCCCGGGUAGGCCGCACCGAGGCGAUCGGGUAACCGUCGCCCCAGAUGAAUGCCCGCACAACACGCCGCAAGGCGUGUGGACAGAACUCGGCUUAUAGACCCACUCCUUCG
rnacentral:RNase_P_RNA from 2 species